GAAAGGGCUCCCGAGUCUGCUGUACCAAAAGGUGCACUGGGCCUUCAAGAACUGGUCUGAACAGCUCCAUUCUGGGCUUCAGAGUCAGCAAUCCCUCCUGAUUUACGGACUGCCUCUAGGGUUGUCUCUUCUUUGAGCACACUUCUGAGUCCUUACCUCCACUCAGUGCCUUCACCAUAGAUUUCAAAGGCACCUUUAGCCAAUCUUUGGAAGACUUAUGUAGCCUCUUAGGUACCACCGAGAAUCUGCCUCUUGCCUCAGUCGGAUCGGGGGAGCACUCCUAACAGAUGUGGACAUACACAGACUCCAUAAGCAGAAAUCCCUGGUGAUUGGAGCCAUGAUGACUUCCUCAUAUCAACUGGGAAUUUCCAGAUCUAUGGCUGUAUCUGCAGCAUCAAGGGCUGCUUGGAAGAAUGUAUGCACCUUUGCGAAUCAGCAACAAACUCCUUCACGUUGUGUUGAGGAAGUUUGUCUGCAAAGGCAUCUGCCACAGCAACUUUGCCAGCUCUAAAACCCUUUCAUUGAUGAGCAUUGCAAGAAGUACUAGUACCGAGAGUCAUAGGAUGUCCAGGA